rnacentral:rRNA from 1 species
AAUAGAUACCCAGGUAGUCCACGCCGUAAACGAUGAGUGCUAAGUGUUAGAGGGUUUCCGCCCUUUAGUGCUGCAGCAAACGCAUUAAGCACUCCGCCUGGGGAGUACGGUCGCAAGACUGAAACUCAAAGGAAUUGACGGGGGCCCGCACAAGCGGUGGAGCAUGUGGUUUAAUUCGAAGCAACGCGAAGAACCUUACCAGGUCUUGACAUCCUUAUGCCAUCUCUAGAGAUAGAGCUUUCCCUUCGGGGACAUAAGUGACAGGUGGUGCAUGGUUGUCGUCAGCUCGUGUCGUGAGAUGUUGGGUUAAGUCCCGCAACGAGCGCAACCCUUGAUCUUAGUUGCCAGCAUUCAGUUGGGCACUCUAAGGUGACUGCCGGUGACAAACCGGAGGAAGGUGGGGAUGACGUCAAAUCAUCAUGCCCCUUAUGACCUGGGCUACACACGUGCUACAAUGGAUGGUACAAAGGGCAGCGAAACCGCGAGGUUAAGCCAAUCCCAUAAAACCAUUCUCAGUUCGGAUUGC